GGGCCCGCACAAGCGGUGGAGUAUGUGGUUUAAUUCGAUGCAACGCGAAGAACCUUACCAGGGUUUGACAUCCUGCGAAUUUCUGGGAAACCGGAAAGUGCCUUCGGGAGCGCAGUGACAGGUGGUGCAUGGCUGUCGUCAGCUCGUGUCGUGAGAUGUUGGUUAAGUCCCGCAACGAGCGCAACCCACGUCUUUAGUUGCCAGCAUUUAGUUGGGCACUCUAGAGAGACCGCCGGUGAUAAACCGGAGGAAGGUGUGGAUGACGUCAAGUCAUCAUGCCCCUUACAUCCUGGGCUACACACGGUACUACAAUGCUACGGACAAAGGGCAGCAAACUCGCGAGAUUGAG
rnacentral:rRNA from 1 species